UCUUAUGAAUGAGCAAAGAAAGUGGUUUAAUAAGACGAAAUCUACUCUUGGUGAAGAUACUGUGAA
rnacentral:pre_miRNA from 2 species